UACGGAAGGUGCAAGCGUUGUUCGGAAUGACUGGGCGUAAAGCGCACGUAGGCGGUUUUGUAAGUCGGAUGUGAAAGCCCCGGGCUCAACCCGGGAAUAGCACCCGAAACUGCGAAACUUGAAUGCUUGAGAGGUUGGUAGAAUUCCAGGUGUAGGAGUGAAAUCCGUAGAUAUCUGGAGGAAUACCGGAGGCGAAGGCGGCCAACUGGUGAUGCAUUGACGCUGAGGUGCGAAAGCGUGGGGAGCAAACAGG
rnacentral:rRNA from 1 species